rnacentral:rRNA from 1 species
CAGCCGCCGCGGUAAUACGAAGGGUGCAAGCGUUAAUCGGAAUUACUGGGCGUAAAGCGUGCGUAGGCGGUGAGUUAAGUCUGCUGUGAAAUCCCCGGGCUCAACCUGGGAAUGGCAGUGGAUACUGGCUCGCUAGAGUGUGUCAGAGGAUGGUGGAAUUCCCGGUGUAGCGGUGAAAUGCGUAGAGAUCGGGAGGAACAUCUGUGGCGAAGGCGACUAUCUGGGCCAACACUGACACUGAGGCACGAAAGCGUGGGGAGCAAACAGGAUUAGAUACCCCUGUAGUCCCUGUCUCUUAUAA